UUUACAAUGCCCAUUGUGUGUAAUACUGGAAUUUCCUACUACCCGUGAACGCCUCAUCUUUUACCUGACUGCCGGACAUCCGCCUUUCCGCACACUUCGUUGAGUCCGCUCUCGAGUGAAAUAGAAGCUUGGUUUUGCCUUUGCUGAGUGAAACAGAACUUCAGUUUUGCCUUUGCUGGAUACUGAUCUGGUCGUUGCAAGUCUGAGUGAACAGAUCUUUGGCUUUGCCUUUGCUGGUGACCUGCUGCAGAAGAUCCUCUCUCUCUCUAUCAUUAUAAGCAAUUCUGUCUAUCCUAUCACUCUCCCAACUCUAUCUAAUUUGACAGCCAUUCCAUCUUGUGUCCCUCUAUCUCUACUGCUCUAUCUAAUUUGACAGCCAUUCCAUCUUGUAUCCCUCUAUCUCUACUGCUCUAUCUAAUUUGAGAAUCCAAUAGGGAUAGAGUGAUACAAGAUGGAAUGGCUGUCAAAUUAGAUAGAGCAGAUGGGAUAGAUUGAUACAAGAUAGAAUGGCUGUCAAAUUAGAUAGAGCAGGGAGAGUGAUAGGACAGACAGAAUUGCUUGAUAAUGAUAGAGGGAGAGGGUUGUCUGCAGCAGGUCACCUGUAAGACACAAACGGACUGGAAUUAGCGGUAUUUCCAAUAAGCUUGGCUUU
ensembl:lncRNA